rnacentral:lncRNA from 10 species
UUUGGCUUCCUGGUACAUGCCUGUAGUCCCAGCUACUCAGGAGACUGAGACUGCAGUUAGCCGAGAGUGUGCCACUGCAGUCCAGCCUGGGUGACAGAGCGAGACUCUGUCUCCAAAAAAAAAAAAAAGUAACACAAUAUCAUCUGUGAUUUUGUUCCUUGAUGACACUGUCUGUGCCACCCGAGAGCUUUAUACAAUAUGUGAGAGAGUGGUAAUUCUCUAGGACCUUGGCAAAAAGAGGAGACUAAGGAUUGUGCUUGUUUUCCUAAGCCUAGCUAGGAGAGAGAGUAACUCUUUUAUUGCCUGGUUCAAGGUGUGAGAAUCAUCAUAGCAACUACAAGCUGGGGCAAGAUAUAUGUCACAAUUACAUCAGUGAGUAGAGAGUAAGCAGAAGAGUCACAUCACCUGGGGCUUGUCUAAAGAUGUUACAAUCUUUUUUGAAGGAAAGAACCAGACAGGAGAGUCAUAUCACAUCACCUAGGUACCUGGUCAGGGAUGCAUUAAAAUCUAUUUCUAUAAGAUGGCUGCUGGUGGCAGGCAGACUGGAUGCAGUGGCUCAUGCCAGUUAUCUCAGCCCUUUGGGAGACCAAGGCAAGUGGAUCAACUGAGGUCAGGAGUUCGAGACCACACUGGCCAGCAUGGUGAAGCCCCACCUCUACUAAAAAUACAAAAAUAAGCCCAGUGUGGUGAUGCAUGCCUGUAAUCCCAGCUACUUGGGAGGCUAAGGCAGGAGAACCACUAGAACCCAAGAGGCGGAGGUUGCAGUAAGCCAAGAUCACAUCACUGCACUCCAACCUGGCUGUCAAAAAAAAAAAAAGAAAGAAAGAAAAAAAAGAAAAGAUGAGCACAGGCCACAAGUCACAUCUUCUGGGUGCUGGGCCCAGUGAUAUGUUACAAAGCUCUCAGUGAGCAACACCCUGAGAGGUGAGACACACACCUGGUGGCUGAUCCCAGUGAUAUGUUACAAUCUUUUCUUUGUGCAUGAAGCAUGUAGGCGAGGACAGUCAUAUUUCAUAGGAUAUGGAUCCAAAACAUGUCACAAGGCCACCUGUGGGCAGGGCCCAGGGAGGAGCUUCCCAUCCCGUAAUGUCAGACCCAAUAAUAUGUAACAAUAUGCAAAAUAUGCAAGGUCCAGUCAAAAUACGAGUUACAUCAUCUAGGUGCUGGGUCCAGUGAUACAUCACAAUUCCCUUAUGGCAGGGUAGAGGCUGACGAAGAGUCACAUCACUACCUAGGUGAUGAAUGAAAAGGUAUUUCAUAAUACUCUUGUGGUCAGGGCUUACGUAGAAGACACAUCAUCUGGGUGGCAGACCCAGCUAUAUGUCACAAUGCAAAAUGUUUGUAGGGCCCAGACAAGAGAAAAGAGUCCCAUCACAUAGGUGCUGGGCCAAGUGAUACAUCACAAUCCCUUUUUGGUCAGAGUCCAAGCAGUAGAGGAAGUCACAUCACCUAAAUGCUGCAUCCAGCAACAUGUCACAAUGCCCUGAGAGGACAACCCAGGAAGAAAAGUCACAUCACCUUGGUAAAAUGCUCAGAAAGAUGUUAUAAUGCUAUCUUUUCAUAGGGCUCAGGAAGAAAAUGAGAGUCAGAUACAUAGGAGCUGGGCCCAGCUAUAUGGCACAAUCACUACAGUAGGCAAGGCCUUGGCAUGACAGGAAGGUCACAUCACAUAGGUGCUGGGCCCAGAGAUAUGUCACAUUUCCUACUGUGGACAGGUACAGAAAGAUAAGGAGAGACCUAUCAUUUAGGCGACUGGCCAAGAGAUAUGUCAAAAUGACCACUUGGGCAGGAGUCAAGCAGGAAUAUCACAACCCUGUGGGCUGUGCCCAGUAAUAAAUCACUGUCGCUUCUGUUAGCAUGACCCAGGCCCAAAGAUAUAUUGCAAUCUAACCUACGGACAAAACGAAGAUAAAAGAGGAGAGUCACAUAAAAUAGUUGAUGGGCAGAAAACUCAUAUCAUCUAUGGGCAGGGCGCAGCAAUAUGUCACAACGUAUUAUGUAGGCAGGUCCAAGAAAAAAAAGUAAUAUCGCUUUGGUACUUAGUUCAUUAAUAUUUCACCAUCUUUCCUGCAGGAAAAAGUAAGAAAUAAAAGAAAAAAAUCAACCAUAUGCUGUGAAAGGUCACGAUUCUUCCUGUGAGCAGAGACCAGGUAACACAAGAGAGUCACAUCACCUUUGGGAUUGGUGCAAAGACAUUUCAAAAUGCCGCCUAUAGGCAAG